ensembl:lncRNA
AUUAGAAUAAGGAUCUAAGCGUGACGAGUUUGGAACUUUAAUCUUUUUAGAGUGUAGAAAAUAUGAAUGGGAGAGGCAGGACAAAAAGGUACACACAGAAAAUGAACAGAGAUCCACACAGAAGGGAGGCAAUCCUAACAGGACAGCCAAAGGAAAACAAAAUUUACUUAAAAAUAUCACUUCUCGCAUAUCUUGAUCAAUUUAGUUUCAUACCAAGUGACUGAAUGACUGCCUGUUAUUAAGAACAAAGAAAGGAACUGUUGUUGCUUUGGUUACCUUAAAAUAUUUGACACUAUUUGAACUUGUAAAUAGUUGAUGACAUUUCAUUCACAAUAGACUGAUUCCAUUCAAAUUUGAACUUGACAUUUCACAAAUUUAAUGAGAAUUACCACAAAGACACAGCUACUAAAAGGGAAACAAAAUAACUACAAAGAAAUGUAAAAUAAGUAGAAAGAAACACAAGUUAAGUAGAGAUAGACACUAAACAACUACACAAUGACACAGGACUUCAAAAUGAUUAAUUUAAUUACAAAGAGUUAAUUACAAAGAGAUAUACAAUGAGAAGGAACAAGCAGAAAUAACUAUAAAGAGUAACCAAAUGACUGCUAAGAGACACAACACUAUGACAAGAAACAAAAGACACAGAAUAACUCCAGUUAAACGUUAACUACAAAGAGUACUAAAAUACACAAAACUAAUAAAAAGAGGUAGAAAAACACAACAAAAAUACAUGCAGUGAGACUUAAAAUGACCAGAAAGACACAAAAAACAUGGAAAAUGAUGACAAGUGGGGAAAAAAGCACCACCUUCUAUCUCAGCUGAAUACUGAAGGUUAACUUCAGUAUUUUCAACCAGCAGCAGGACAUGAAUGUAUCAGUCGUGGUCUUUUGAACCUGUAAAGAAGGGUGUGUUCUGUGGCUCAAUGCCUCGUAAUUUUUCCAUUGCUAUAAACUAUCUGGUUUACACAACAAAGAGCAAGGUGAUUGGUUUAAAUUGGUUAUUAGGCACUCAUUUAUUACACUGCACAGAUAAAUACGACCUUUUGUGUAUCUUUACACAAUUUUACUCAUUUGAGAAAUUAAACCCAUUUGAUUUAAUAGUGCCCCAGUUGUUUUUUAGUUAACCCUGUUAAAACCAUGUUUAGAUGUUAUACAGUUCAGUACACAAUAACCACCCAUUACAUUCAUUUAGAUGACAAAAGCUGAAAAUGUAGAAGCUUUAUUGAAUCAGAAUUGAUAGCAGAGGUGUUUUACUGGACUGCAUUUCAUUUCAUAAUGUGCAUAAUAAAGUAAAUGUCACAUUAUUCCAAGGCUCAGUGUCUCUGCGUACUUCUGGUAACAUAACAUAAUAGCAGGGUUGUAGUUUUGGAUGGAUGCAGAAAGGUCAAGCCCUAAAUCCUACAGUUACAGUGCAAUAUGUUCUGGGUUAUUUCUGGUCAACUGACCUACAAUUUCCUACAACCGCUAAAACCAGUACAUGCUAUUGCUAAGGAUGUUUUGCAAUAAGAGAAUAUUCUUUUACAAGUGGCACAGGGGCUAUUCUGUUACAAAGCAUGCGUUUUUUAACCUAUACUGAGGUCAAGGUACAGUUUACCAAAAAAAUGUUCACAACAAAAUAAUAUCUGAGUCUAUGAUUCUUUAAUUGAGGUAUUUAUAGAGCAAAUCACACAGUAUUAAAGUAUUUUGAACAUGUAUUUUAAGAACUGCAUUUACCCCAUUUAAACAUACUUACUUAAUUAACUGCCUAACAGUAACAAUCAGUUUGAAGAUGAAAUCUUGUAUUUAAAAGUUUGGUAACAGUUGUGUGUAGUUAAACAUUUUAGGGGCUAGAUUGUGUGGGAUUAGGGUAGAGAGUUAAUGUGAUGGUUUCAACAUUUACAGUAAAUGAUUACAGUGCUAACAGCUGUACUUUAAAAUACUGACAGGACCAUUUGAAAUAUAUGGAUUUACAGAGGAAAAUUGGGUUAUGUAUGGCUUAAGAGGGCUUUAUAUUUUCAUGCAUGUUGUCAUUGUGAUAGCCUUUUAGCACAGAGCUAAUAGUUUUACUACCAUGAAAUAAGUUUAUCCACACUAUUUACAUGGUGAUGUUACAUUUGCAACCCAAAUGGCUGUACUUAAGAUUAGCUUUUGUAAAACAACAAAGGGCCAAAUGCA